AAGCCAGUGGUGAACUCCACAUACGCAUCCUUUGCUGAGGAUACGGUUAACGGAGCGAAAGCGACGUUCAACCUCAAAAGAAGCAGAGGGGGCUUAGUGGUGGGGUGACUGCGUACCUUUUGUAUAAUGGGUCAGCGACUUAUAUUCUGUAGCAAGGUUAACCGAAUAGGGGAGCCGGAGGGAAACCGAGUCUUAAUUGGGCGUUAAGUUGCAGGGUAUAGACCCGAAACCCGGUGAUCUAGCCAUGGGCAGGUUGAAGGUUGGGUAACACUAACUGGAGGACCGAACCGACUAAUGUUGAAAAAUUAGCGGAUGACCUGUGGCUGGGGGUGAAAGGCCAAUCAAACCGGGAGAUAGCUGGUUCUCCCCGAAAGCUAUUUAGGUAGCGCCUCGUGAACUCAUCUCCGGGGGUAGAGCACUGUUUCGGCUAGGGGGCCAUCCCGGCUUACCAACCCGAUGCAAACUGCGAAUACCGGAGAAUGUUAUCACGGGAGACACACGGCGGGUGCUAACGUCCGUCGUGAAGAGGGAAACAACCCAGACCGCCAGCUAAGGUCCCAAAGUCAUGGUUAAGUGGGAAACGAUGUGGGAAGGCCCAGACAGCCAGGAUGUUGGCUUAGAAGCAGCCAUCAUUUAAAGAAAGCGUAAUAGCUCACUGGUCGAGUCGGCCUGCGCGGAAGAUGUAACGGGGCUAAACCAU
rnacentral:rRNA from 1 species